UACCAGCAGUCCAAGUCGUAGCCACAAUUAUUGGGUCUAAAACAUCCGUAGCUUGCUUCAUAAGUUUCCUGUGAAAUUCUGUCUCUUAAGAACAGAGCGUGCAGGAAAUACUGUGUUGCUAGAGACUGGAGGAUGUGAAGAGUACAGCUAAGGUAGUGGUAAAAUACGUUAAUCUUUGCUGGACUAACAAUAGCGAAGGCACUUCACAAUUACAGUUCUGACGGUGAGGGAUGAAGGCUAGGGGCGCAAAACGGAUUAGAUACCCCGGUA
rnacentral:rRNA from 1 species